GGCGCCGCCUGCGAGGCCUGUGCCAUGAGAUGAUGGGCACGGAGCAGUUCAGCCUCAAGUGGAACAACCACACUCACCAUCUGGUGGACGUGUUUAAAAAUCUACUGCGAUCAGAAUCUCUGGUGGACGUGACCCUCUCGUGCGAGGGUCAGAGUCUGAAGGCGCACAAGCUUGUG